rnacentral:rRNA from 1 species
GACGAGGGAUCCUAGCGUUGCUCGGAAUCAUUGGGCGUAAAGCGGGUGUAGGUGGUUAACUAAGUCAGGAGUGAAAGCCCUAGGCUCAACCUGGGAAGUGCUUUUGAAACUGGUUAACUUGAGUGUGGGAGAGGAUAGUAGAAUUCCUGGUGUAGUGGUGAAAUACGUAGAUAUCAGGAGGAAUUCCAGUGGGGAAGCCGGCUAUCUGGCCCAACACUGACACUCAGACCCGAAAGCGUGGGGAUCAAACAGG